rnacentral:rRNA from 1 species
GAUGAACGCUGGCGGCGUGCUUAACACAUGCAAGUCGAACGGUGAAGCAGGAGCUUGCUCCUGUGGAUCAGUGGCGAACGGGUGAGUAACACGUGAGCAAUCUGCCCUGGACUCUGGGAUAAGCGUUGGAAACGACGUCUAAUACCGGAUACGAGGCGUGGGGGCAUCCCCAACGCCUGGAAAGAACUUCGGUCCAGGAUGAGCUCGCGGCCUAUCAGGUAGUUGGUGAGGUAACGGCUCACCAAGCCGACGACGGGUAGCCGGCCUGAGAGGGUGACCGGCCACACUGGGACUGAGACACGGCCCAGACUCCUACGGGAGGCAGCAGUGGGGAAUAUUGCACAAUGGGCGCAAGCCUGAUGCAGCAACGCCGCGUGAGGGACGACGGCCUUCGGGUUGUAAACCUCUUUUAGCAGGGAAGAAGCGAAAGUGACGGUACCUGCAGAAAAAGCACCGGCUAACUACGUGCCAGCCGCCGCAGUAACAC